AUUGAACGCUGGCGGCAUGCCUUACACAUGCAAGUCGAACGGCAGCACGGGAGCAAUCCUGGUGGCGAGUGGCGAACGGGUGAGUAAUAUAUCGGAACGUGCCCAGUCGUGGGGGAUAACGCAGCGAAAGCUGUACUAAUACCGCAUACGAUCUAAGGAUGAAAGCGGGGGAUCGCAAGACCUCGCGCGAUUGGAGCGGCCGAUAUCAGAUUAGCUAGUUGGUGGGGUAAAGGCCCACCAAGGCGACGAUCUGUAGCUGGUCUGAGAGGACGACCAGCCACACUGGAACUGAGACACGGUCCGGACUCCUACGGGAGGCAGCAGUGGGGAAUUUUGGACAAUGGGCGCAAGCCUGAUCCAGCAAUGCCGCGUGCAGGAUGAAGGCCUUCGGGUUGUAAACUGCUUUUGUACGGAACGAAACGGCCCUUUCUAAUACAGGGGGCUAAUGACGGUACCGUAAGAAUAAGCACCGGCUAACUACGUGCCAGCCGCCGCGGUAACAC
rnacentral:rRNA from 1 species